rnacentral:rRNA from 1 species
UGGGGAAUUUUGGACAAUGGGGGAAACCCUGAUCCAGCCAUCCCGCGUGUGCGAUGAAGGCCUUCGGGUUGUAAAGCACUUUUGGCAGGAAAGAAACGUCAUGGGUUAAUACCCCGUGAAACUGACGGUACCUGCAGAAUAAGCACCGGCUAACUACGUGCCAGCAGCCGCGGUAAUACGUAGGGUGCAAGCGUUAAUCGGAAUUACUGGGCGUAACGCGUGCGCAGGCGGUUCGGAAAGAAAGAUGUGAAAUCCCAGAGCUCAACUUUGGAACUGCAUUUUUAACUACCGGGCUAGAGUGUGUCAGAGGGAGGUGGAAUUCCGCGUGUAGCAGUGAAAUGCGUAGAUAUGCGGAGGAACACCGAUGGCGAAGGCAGCCUCCUGGGAUAACACUGACGCUCAUGCACGAAAGCGUGGGGAGCAAACAGG